rnacentral:lncRNA from 1 species
GAGUUACCAAAGCAGUUGGGAAACAGAGGCAGAGGACUGCCCCCACUCUGUCCGCAGCAGGGGUAUGGGAGGCAGCUCGGGACACUCCAGGGACCAAGCGGGCAGUGGGCGCCGUCCCCGAGGAACACCCAGCCCAGCGCCCCUGGUUCUGGGCUGGUUGGCUUAUCGAGGCCGGUUGGCCAAAGCAUCAGGAAAGGGAACAUUCUCGGCCGGGUGUUGGAUACCAAAUUAUAAACGCCAGAGCACCUUGUGUAAAGAUGAAUAUCGUUUUGUUACUGCGGGAGGGAAUACACCUACUGCUUUGAAAGGAGUUUAAAAUAUUCAGCAGACAGCACCGCAUUGAAAUUAGUGCAUUGAGCUGCAGACCAAACUAAUUUCUAGAACAGUCUAAAAAGUAAAAACAAAGUUUGGCAAAAAUGACAACUUUGCUUGAGAACAGCUCUGGAAAAGCGAAUCCACUGAGAGCCGUGGGAAUUCUCCGCCAGCUGUGCUUCCCCAACCGAGGAAGAAUCCAACCCGGAAUAUCGUUUCUGGACCCCACCGCGGAGACCCCAGCUGGACCCUCUCCUGAAAACUGCCCGGGGAGGGGGGUGCGGUCUCAGCGCCCUCCACUGCGGGGUCCAAGGCGCAGUAGCGGGGCGCGACCCCAGCGCUCCAAGCCCAGCAUUCUUGGCAGCUCUCCAGGCCCCAGUCAGAGGCACAUUGACCUUGAAGUUGCACUUGACUCGCCCACUCGGGGCUGCCUGGUGGCGCCUGGGUCAGCUUGAAACCCACGCAGCUGAGGGAGCUAGGUGUGGGGUUCACCAUACUGCGCCCCCGCCGGAUUUGGGAGCGCGGGAUCUACUCGGAGGCAGAGAGAUUAGCCCCAGAGGUCAAGCCUUUCGGCGUCGUUUUGUCAUCUGUAUUUUCUCGUCCCCUUCGCCGCCGAGUCCUACAAAGCUCACUUCAGAGAGACUGGGUCCACAUGUGUGGGCUCAUGAGGAGGAGGACAGCGAGGGUGACGACGCUGGGGGACUAGCGCGAGCUGGCGCAUUCCUGGCAGUGAGCCAAGGGCCCCCCGUCUUGCUAGUCUUUCCAAGUUGCUUGGCAAUUCCAAAAAUUUCGACUGUGGGAAAGUUGAAACUUGUUCGUAUAGCGUUCUUUCGAAAAGAUUUUCCUUGUCUGUAUCUAUUUUACAGAAAACAUACUGGUCCUCACUACUGUUUGGGGACGAGUUAGCCUAAAUUUGAACAGACCUUGAAGACAAACCCUGAGCCCCGGGAGGCAGCCUUCUCAGCGCGAGGUGCACACACAAGUCCCCGAGCCCACCGCGAGGGUCUCACCUGGCUCCUGCGUGGUCUUUCCCCACUUUGGCGACUUUGAAGGCCAGGGGGACCGUACAGUGAGCGAAUAACUUAGCGCCUGCAUUAUCACUGCUGAAACCUCAGAGAACAAUGUAGGACAUGCGGGUGCAGGUAGAGCAAAACUAGUGAAAAGAGUUUAUGAGGAAUUCAUACCGCCUCGCCUACUUGGGACAACUCCUUCAUUCAGUUGUCCUCCCUAGGGGGCUGUUAUGCUUAUUUGUGUCAGACCCUUCUUUCCCCUGGAAUCUUAUCAUCACAGAAUAUUAAACAUUUGAAAAAAUUUUAAAGAUUAAACUUGUUCGAGGAAAAAAUGGUAAACACUGUUAGGGAUUGCCUGGCGUGCACAAAUUAAGGAAAGAAAGAAACUGAAAAUUUCAGCGCGGCUUUGGGAAUUUUUAGCUUUGCGAUUUAAAACCCACAGCGCCAUCUCCUGGUAAUGAGGAGAAUAUAGCGAUGGAUGACAAUACUGAAAUGCUGACUAUGAAAUACUCAAAUAUGAGAAACGCCUCAAAAAUUAUUUCAGUGAUAGGUUGAUUAUGAUUACAAAAUAUGAUCUGACAUGGACAUUUAUUAUCAUUAAAAGUUAUCAGACACAAUCCUGGAAGCUAAUUAUUUGUAAAUAGAAGUUUGUAUAUUUAUACAUACAUGUAUUUUAUAGAUUCAGACGCUUAUGCUGUGAAUUUACAAGAUAUGAUUCUAUAAUUUAUCAUAAAUACAUAAUUUUACAAAACAGUUCCCUGUUUUACUUUUUGUGAAUGAUUUUACCAUAUAUGGUAGAAAAAGAAUAAUAGGAUGUGGUGAUCUAUGGAGACAUAAAAUCUUCUAGAUCCUCAUUGUAUUUUACUAGUCAACAUUAAUAAAUACUUUAGCCCCAUUGUCUCAAUAACUUCUCACUUUAUCUAUGUCUUCUCAUCAUGCAAUCUUACAGAAUGUCUUACUGUCUUAAUGUUAAGACAUCAUGACAAAAAUGUGUUAACAUUAUUCAGACAUUCUGAUCCUGAAAUAUCAUCUGAAGUUAAAUUAUUUUCCAAAAGUUUAAUGCACAUAAUAGAAUCAUAAAUACUUAAUACUUUUCUAUUAAAAUGUUUCUGAAGUAUUCUUUCAAGCUUUUCUCCCUUUUAUAAAUAAGAUUGAAACACACUAAAAUUUAGAGAUGAUAUCCCUAUUAAAAACAUUUCUCCUCUAUGAUUGUAUACACAGGCCAGCUGCUUGAAAUAAAAAUAAAAGUAGAUAUGCUUUUUGUAGUGUACAAAAUAUUAUGAAUAUCCUUCAAAAUUGUAGAUCAAACAGACAAAUGUAAACUUCAGUUGAAAGAUUCAUUUUAUUUGAUUAAUUAAAGUGAAGAUCUAUUAAGCCAAA